GGCUACAGUUAAUGGGGUCGCAGAGCUGGACACAACUUGGCAACUAAACAACAACAAGGAGUUAACACGGAUUAAAACAGGUUAAAGAGAGAGGAAAUAAAAGUGACAAGGAAGCCCUGCCCCAGUGAGCAAAUAGCACCCCUUAUCUGACUUGCGCAUUCUCUCCUACUGGAAAAGCCACACCACGUGCCAAGCUCAGGUGAUGCUGGGAGUGUCCCUCCAUGGUCCUGGCAGCCUCCCCACAGCUUGGAGGCAGCCGUGGGGUCAGAAAGAGCCACACCAGCGUGUACUCCUGGGGAGGAGCAGAGCCACAUGAAAGCCUGCCAACGCGGAAUCGCAAAGACCCGUUGAAAAUGCAGCAGGGCCCCACCACGCAGAGGCCUGCCCAGGACGUGGGCCACAACGAGAACGUGCCACACACCUCCCCAUCACCAGGCCCACGGCAGCACUCUCCAUCCAUGCCUUUGGACUCCAGAAUCAGCUUCUCCUUGGGAAAAGGUCUCAUCACCCCCACUUCAUGUGAUGGAUAAUUUGAAUGAGUGAAAGCAGAAGGUAUCUGUCUUUCUCCACCUGAGAAAUCACAAACUUUUAAAUCUCAGCAGUCCAGAAUCAAAUCCAAACAGACCAUCCCAGCAGUUCCAGGCAGCAGAAAUGCAUGUAUGUGUUCACCAAAAGACAAGGACCCAGAUGUUCACAGCAACACUAUCCACAGCAGCCAACCAUUGGAAAUUACCCAAAUGCUUCCCCACAGUAGAAUAAAUAAGUAACUGUAGUGGAGUCACAACAGAAUACUACAGAACGAGAUAUAAUGCCGAGCAAAGGAUAUUUUAAAAGGUACCUACUCUGCAACUCGCUUUACAUCAAGUUCAAAGACGGGCAGAACCGAUUUGUGCCGUGUGAAGUCAGGAGUCAUUACCCUUGCUGGGGUAAGAAGGCUAGUGGGCACGAGAGGACUUGCGGAACCUGCUGUGUCUCGCUGUGGGCACUAGAGCUUGGGGAUGCACUGGUGUGUGAAAUGUUCUUCAGUUGUACACUUACGUGCACUUUUCUGUGUAUAUAUAUUAUAAGUUACUAAAAUCUUUUCUAAAAUCAAAAAGAGGAAAUCAAGCUGGGCUCUGUCAGUUCUCACCACACUAGGCCAUGUGGGUAACACAGCCACUUUCAUCUGUUCUUUCUCCUGAUUCUCCUGUUUGAACCUAUCUGUCCAUUUCAAUGUCUCCGCGUGACCCACCGAGUGGGGUUACUCCUCUCCACCCCGCCCUCGAAGCCCAGAGGGAAUAAGCCAGAGGGUGCUCUUCUCC